rnacentral:rRNA from 1 species
CCUACGGGAGGCAGCAGUGGGGAAUAUUGCACAAUGGGGGAAACCCUGAUGCAGCAACGCCGCGUGAGUGAAGAAGUAUUUCGGUAUGUAAAGCUCUAUCAGCAGGGAAGAAGAUGACGGUACCUGAUUAAGUAGCCCCGGCUAACUACGUGACAGCAGCCGCGGUACUACGGAGGGGGCAAGCGUUAGCCGGAUUUACGGGGCGUACAGGGAGCUCAGACGGAUUGGCAGGUAUGGAGUGAAAGGCCGGGGCGCAACCCCGGAACUGCUCUUGAAACUGUGAGGCUAGAGUACUGGAGGGGCAGGCGGAAUGCCUGGUGUAGCGGUGAAAUGCGUAGAUAUUAGGAGGAACACCAGUGGCGAAGGCGGCCUGCUGGACAGUAACUGACGUUGAGGCUCGAAAGCGUGGGGAGCAAACAGGAUUAGAUACCCGAGUAGUC